AAUGUGUUGUAAUAUGGGAGUUAUGCUCAAUUUUUGGGGUUUCAAUUAAUCUAAAUAUGAAAUCAGCAAAUGAAAUAAUCGAACACCCUCAAUAUAGCGCCAACGCAGAGGUCCAUCUUGGCAAAGUGGUAUGAUGAGUAUUUCAUCAAUGUAACUCUCGCAACCUCUCCCUAAACACCCCUCGAGUCAAAUGCACAACACCUCCGAAGCACGCCCUCCCCUCUCCAAUUACCCCGAAAGGAGAACUACUUACCAAAAGGGGAUUCUUCAAAUGCAAAGGAGAAGAAACUUACCUCCUAAGUACUGGGGCGGCGGCCCAGGAGCCCCAAAUUAUAAACAAGUUACGUGGGGAACUUAAUGCAAGAAAGUUGCAUUGCGGUUAAUUGUUACAUGUCACGUAGCAGGUGCACGUAGGAGUGAUAUCAUUGCAAUUCCAAGUGAGAUAUCGUGAUGAUUGGGCACAUGAAGGCACGUAAGACAUAAAAAAUGUACUAUUGAAGAGGGAUAUUACUUACACCGAACGAGCGUGGAUCAAAGCACUCAUCAGUUGGUAAUAGCUUUAUGCAUUACUUUACGCAAACGAGUGUGGAUCAAAACACUCGUACGGUUAGUAAUAGCUUAUUGCAUUACUUUACGCGAACGAGUGUGGAUCAAAACACUCGUACGUUUAGUAAUAGCUUUCCGCAUCACCUUUUACAAUGUAGUACAAUCUACAGCGCGUUUGGGAGGAUCAAAUCAAACGACUGCAGCUUUGCUUACACGCAAAGGCUUAUCUUCAAAUAGAUACUUUAAUAUGUGUCAGUGUACCUACUACAAUGACCACUAAAUCUUCCCCUAUAUAAGUUUACUUUUCUUCUUAUAUGUAGUAAAAGAACGCCCGUUUUUGUAGCUACUUUUUGAAGAUAAUAAAUAAACGUAACCCUGGCUAUAUACCAAAU
rnacentral:lncRNA from 1 species